rnacentral:rRNA from 1 species
GUUGCCAUCGGGCGAGCCGGGCACUCUGGAGGGACUGCCGGCGACAAGCCGGAGGAAGGUGGGGAGUGACGUCAAGUCAUCAUGGCCCUUAUGUCCAGGGCGACACACGUGCUACAAUGGCCGGCACAGCGGGAAGCGGAGGGGCGACCCUGAGCGGAUCCCUUGAAAGCCGGUCCCAAGUUCCGGAUUGCAGUCUGCAACUCGACUGCAUGAAGUUGGAAUCGCUAGUAAUCGCGGAUCAGCCAAGCCGCGGUGAAUACGUUCCCGGGCCUU